AGCUACAGGUCGUGGACGAACAAGACAAUGUCUAGGUCGCGGAAGAGUUCCGCCACCUGCAUCCACUACGGAAGUAUCAUUUGUAGGAGUCACAUCACCGUCUUCGAAGCUACGUGGACGCCAUUCGAUUGGCUGUGGAUGUGUGGAUGGUGCUGGUGACGGAGGAUACCCAAGGGGAUGCGGCGGUAGCCGAGCAAGAUCGAGCGGCUGUAUACGUUUUCCAGCACGAAUAUCCUUAACUCUCUUAAUUGCCAAUAAUAAUUUUUUCUGGUGGCCAAGACGUACAAUGCCAAUGUCUUCAAGAUCUUCCCAAGUGAGAGUCGUUACAUCUUCAACUGAACGCAUACCCUGUUGAUGAAGAGCACCAAGAUAUUCUUCGAGUCGCAGAAGCCUGAGCCACUCUUCUAACGAACCAGGAAUAUGUUCUGGCAAGCCAUCUCCUAUAUUUAAAUUAUCUAUUUCCGCCUUCAAGCGUUUCCGAUGAUUAGGCUGCUUAAUUCCUGCAAGUCCAUAGAGUCUUAAAUAUAGUCUUUUAAUCAUAGACAUAGAUAAAUUAAUCGGUAAGUAUAACAUAUAAAGGAAUAUUUA
rnacentral:misc_RNA from 1 species